UUCUAAUUUGUACUUUUUUUUAGGAAAAACCUGUUAAAUUAGAGGGAAGAAGAUAGUGGAUAUUCAAUAUUUCUUGGAUUGUGUGAAAAAUCUAAACAACCACGAGCCAAAGUUGGGGUGCACCUUAAGCAACAUGAAUGUCAUAAAAGAAGUUAGAAAUGGAUAUGUGUCAAUAUUUAAGGUCAAGUGUGAUAUGUGUAGAGGAACAUACGAUCUGCAAACGACAGCCACAAACCCGAAUCAAGAUGCUGUUCUGGGGGUGAUAAUGAUAGGGGCAGGUCACAGUGCUCUAGCGCAGCUUUCAACAUGCUUAGAAACUCCCUUUUCCAUCUCAACGGACAUAUCUAAUUCAGGAAGAUAUUCUUGGAGAAACUUUUGAAACAAUUUCUUUGAAAUCUAUGAGACGAGCUGGUGAGAUAGAAAAGAAUUUAGCUAUAGAAGCAGGUGAUCUCUCACUUGAUGGGGUUCCUAUAAUUACUGUCGUAGCGGAUGGGUCUUGAGCCAAAAGAUCAUAUAGAUCCAAUUACAAUUCUCUUUCAGGAGCUGCAGCAAUUAUAGGCUGUAGAACUAAACAGGUCCUUUUUAUUGGCAUAAAAAACAAAUAUUGUACAAUUUGCCAACUCUCAAAAAAUCAAGGACACAAUCAAAUGCCUAAAAGGCAUAAAUGCUUUAAAAACUUUGAAGGUUCUUCAACGAGCAUGGAAGGCGAUAUUUUAAAAGAAGGAUUUCUCCAUAGUUUAGAGCAACAUGGAUUAAUCUACCAUAAAUUAAUAGCUGACGGAGACAGCAAUUCUCUGAAAAAAAAUUUAGAUGCUCAUCCAUAUAAAAAUGACAUUGUGAAAAAAAAUUAGUGCAGAAAUUACCUUCUACGAAAUUACUCCCGGAAAAUUCGAGAUUUAGGUAAAGACGUCAAUGCUGGGCCAUUAGUUCUUCGGAAGCAAAUAAGCGUAAGUACUUACUAUUCGUAGAAAAAUUAUUUUAGGAAAAAUACUUAUGUUUCUGGUAAAGAAAAACAUAUUUGUAAAUUUAUAACGUUGUUUUUUUUUUGUAGAAAGAACAGCUAAGAUUACGAUAUGCAGUUACAAAAGUUAUCGAACAUAGAAAAAAUGAGGGUGUUCCGAUGUAAGAAAAAAUAAAGUUGUUAAAACAAGACAUAGACAAUUCUAUUAGCCGCGUUUUUGGAGAACACAAACUUUGUGCAGAAUUGGGAUAUUUCUGUCAUGAGCAAUAUAAACCCAGUGGUAGCAUAUUAUCAGACUUAAAAAUUACAGGCCGAUACGACAAAUUAUAUAGCUUUGUCAGCUAUCUUUCAAGAAAUAGCGUGAGUUUAAUACAAGAUGUUGACAAUAAUGUAUCGGAGCAAUUUAACUCAAUCAUUGCAAAAUUUAUUGGCGGAAAACGCAUUAAUUAUUGCCAACGAGGAUCAUAUCAGGCUCGCUGUUAAGCUUCUGUAAUUUCUCAUAAUACUAAAAAGCCUAUAUACACGAUUAAAAAAUUCCUUAAUCAUAAAAGCUCGAUUGGCUUAGUUAAAUACAGGGAAUUAAAGAAAAAAUAUAUUAAACGGAAAAGAUUAUUCCAAACCAAAGAGAAGUCUGGACUUGAUAGCAGUUACGGUGAUCAAUGUCAAAAGCCUGAUCUAACACCUGAGGAGUUGCAAAAAGAAAAAGAAGAUUUUCUAGCUAGUAUUAAAAAAAAUGCAGAAGAAAUCAAAUUAAUUGAAGAGCUCACAAAGGAACAGAGCCAAUCUGAUUUGUGGCACUUAGAGCGAAGAAAGCGUCUUACGGCAUCAAAUUACUACGCAAUUUGCUCUAAAUUUAGUGCCAGAAGCAACGGCGAUACAAAAAAGCUCGUGGAACAACUUCUGUACCCAAAAACAAUUAAUUCUGCUAGCAUUGAGUGGGGCAAACAAAAUGAAAAACAGGCAAUCAAUGUUAUAGAAACAUUAAUUGAUGAGAAGAUAUUACCAUGUGGCUUAUUUGUAAGCGAAAAUAUUUCAUUCUUGGCAGCGACUCCCGAUGGCCUUAUUGGGAAGAAGGGGAUUGUUGAAAUCAAAUGCCCCUUUAGUGCUAAAAAUCUCACCCCUGAAGAUGCGAUAAUGCAAAGAAAAAUAUCAUUUUGGAAGAAAAACGGAGAAAUUAAUAAGAACCACAAAUGGUUUUACCAAAUACAAGGCCAAUUGUUGGUAACUGGGAGAUCCUACUGCUGCUUUGCAGUUUGGACACCUUUGGGCAUUAAGAAGGAAAUUAUUUUAAAAAACGACGUAUUCUGCGAAAAUAUGAAAAAGAAAUUAACUAUAUUCUAUUCGAUAUGUUAUUUACCUGAUCUUGUAGAUCCCCGCAAAAAUAGAAAUAUGCAUGUUAGAAAUAUUUCCCUAAAAGAAUAUACGAUUGUAUAAGUUUUUUUAUA